rnacentral:misc_RNA from 1 species
AUUUUGCAAAGUGUGCCCAUUGGAAAGAUCAAAAAAUGAGGACAUUAUAGAAGCUUGUAAAGGUCAUCUGGUGAGGAACUUCAUAAAAGAGUGUUGGUGGAAAUGUGGCUGUAGUAAACAAUGUGGCAACCGUGUAGUACAGCGAGGAAUAAGCCAUAAGUUACAGGUCUUUAUGACUCCGGAAGGGAAAGGAUGGGGCUUGCGAACCCUUGAAGACCUUCCCCGAGGUGCUUUUGUCUGUGAAUAUGUUGGAGAGGUUCUGACCAACACAGAACUCUUUGAUCGUGUUGCACGGA